UAACUGUUCGGGAUCCUAUUCCACCGUACUUCCAAAGAUACAGAGAAGAUUACCAUGGCCCCUGCGCAAGGAUGACACGCAAAAUCGUGAAGCGUUCCACAUUUUU